rnacentral:rRNA from 1 species
UACGAGAGGCCCAAACGUUAUUCGGAAUCAUUGGGCGUAAAGCGCUCGUAGGCGGAUCGGACAGUCGGUGAAGAAAGACCCGGGCUCAACUCGGGGAACGGCACCGAUACUAUCGAUCUUGAGGCAAUCAGAGGGUGAUGGAAUUCCCGGUGUAGCGGUGAAAUGCGUAGAUAUUGGGAGGAACACCAGUGGCGAAGGCGAUCACCUGGGGUUGUUCUGACGCUGAGGAGCGAAAGCUAGGGGAGCAAACGGG